rnacentral:rRNA from 1 species
GAUGAACGCUGGCGGCGUGCCUAAUACAUGCCAGUCGAGCGAACGGACGAGAAGCUUGCUUCUCUGAUGUUAGCGGCGGACGGGUGAGUAACACGUGGAUAACCUACCUAUAAGACUUGGAUAACUUCGAGAAACCGGAGCUCAUACCGUAUGAUAUUUUGAACCGCAUGGUUCAAAAGUGAAAGACGGUCUUGCUGUCACUUAUAGAUGGAUCCGCGCUGCAUUAGCUAGUUGGUAAGGUAACGGCUUACCAAGGCAACGAUGCAUAGCCGACCUGAGAGGGUGAUCGGCCACACGGGAACGGAGACGCGGUCAAGAGGACUACGGGAGGGAGCAGUAGGGAAUGUGCGGCAAUGGGCGGAAGCCUGACGGAGCAACGCCGCGUGAGUGAUGAAGGUCUUGGGAUCGUAAAACUCUGUUAUGAGGGAAGAACAUAUGUGUAAGUAACUGUGCACAUCGUGACGGUACCUAAACAGAAAGCCACGGCUAACUACGUG